GAUGAACGCUGGCGGCGUGCCUAAUACAUGCAAGUCGAGCGAACACACGAGGAGCUUGCUCCUCUGACGUUAGCGGCGGACGGGUGAGUAACACGUGGAUAACCUACCUAUAAGACUGGGAUAACUUCGGGAAACCGGAGCUAAUACCGGAUAAUAUAUUGAACCGCAUGGUUCAAUAGUGAAAGACGGUUUUGCUGUCACUUAUAGAUGGAUCCGCGCCGCAUUAGCUAGUUGGUAAGGUAACGGCUUACCAAGGCAACGAUGCGUAGCCGACCUGAGAGGGUGAUCGGCCACACUGGAACUGAGACACGGUCCAGACUCCUACGGGAGGCAGCAGUAGGGAAUCUUCCGCAAUGGGCGAAAGCUUGACGGAGCAACGCCGCGUGAGUGAUGAAGGUCUUCGGAUCGUAAAACUCUGUUAUUAGGGAAGAACAAAUGUGUAAGUAACUAUGCACGUCUUGACGGUACCUAAUCAGAAAGCCACGGCUAACUACGUG
rnacentral:rRNA from 1 species